rnacentral:tRNA from 1 species
GGGUUGCUAACUCAACGGU